UGUCUACGCAAGGAAGACGGAAGACGAUCUACGUCUCUGAAAUUGGUUGCGCACGACCAAAGAUCGGUGAUGACUUUCAGAACGGAAGAGAAAAUAAAUGAGUAUUGAUGGUUGCUUGUUUGUGUUGUUGUCCACUAUCGAACAAUACGUUUAGUAGUUUGUCCGUCCGUCUAUCUUUUCUUUGAAUGGUGACACAGCAAAAUGUGCUGCAGUAAAACCAGGAUAUGCAGGCAAGAAAUGAAGACAAUAACUAUACUAAUCAGCAUGCAGCUAUGUGCAUGCAUGCAGAUAUGAGUGUGUAUACAGAGAUGCAAUGCAAGAGUGAUCAGUGGAAAAGUGUCUAAGUUAAAUUGACUCAUCAACAGUGUAAAGUAGAGGACUUCCUAAUAUGACUGGAACAUUAAUUAUGCUUAUUACGUUAAUUGAUUUAGAAAUUCUAGCUUUGUUACCGUCUUGCGACUAAAUCAUGUAAUAGUUUGUAUCGAAGA